GAUGAACGCUGGCGGCGUGCCUAAUACAUGCAAGUCGAGCGAACAGACGAGGAGCUUGCUCCUCUGACGUUAGCGGCGGACGGGUGAGUAACACGUGGAUAACCUACCUAUAAGACUGGGAUAACUUCGGGAAACCGGAGCUCAUACCGGAUAAUAUAUUGAACUGCAUGGUUCUAUAGUGAAAGACGGUUUUGCUGUCACUUAUAGAUGGAUCCGCGCCGCAUUAGCUAGUUGGUAAGGUAACGGCUUACCAAGGCAACGAUGCGUAGCCGACCUGAGAGGGUGAUCGGCCACACUGGAACUGAGACACGGUCCAGACUCCUACGGGAGGCAGCAGUAGGGAAUCUUCCGCAAUGGGCGAAAGCCUGACGGAGCAACGCCGCGUGAGUGAUGAAGGUCUUCGGAUCGUAAAACGCUGUUAUUAGGGAAGAACAAAUGUGUAAGUAACUAUGCACGUCUUGACGGUACCUAAUCAGAAAGCCACGGCUAACUACGUG
rnacentral:rRNA from 1 species